rnacentral:rRNA from 1 species
GUCCACGCUGUAAACGAUGAGUGCUAAGUGUUAGAGGGUUUCCGCCCUUUAGUGCUGCAGCUAACGCAUUAAGCACUCCGCCUGGGGAGUACGGCCGCAAGGCUGAAACUCAAAGGAAUUGACGGGGACCCCGCACAAGCGGUGGAGCAUGUGGUUUAAUUCGAAGCAACGCGAAGAACCUUACCAGGUCUUGACAUCCUCUGACACUCCUAGAGAUAGGACGUUCCCCUUCGGGGGACAGAGUGACAGGUGGUGCAUGGUUGUCGU